UUGCACGCUGCACCCCGGGCUUCUCUGAUAACUCGUAUGAAGAUGGAAGCCCCAAUGCACGUGCGAAAGCCAUGCGCCGUUCAGUGUUGCAGGCCAGCUCUGUGUUUCUCUUCAACGGCUGAUCUGUGUCAAAGCAACGGCUAGAUUU